UACGGAGGGGGCUAGCGUUGUUCGGAAUUACUGGGCGUAAAGCGCGCGUAGGCGGCCUUGUAAGUUAGAGGUGAAAGCCCGAAGCUCAACUUCGGAAUAGCCUUUAAGACUGCAUCGCUAGAAUCAUGGAGAGGUUAGUGGAAUUCCGAGUGUAGAGGUGAAAUUCGUAGAUAUUCGGAAGAACACCAGUGGCGAAGGCGACUAACUGGACAUGUAUUGACGCUGAGGUGCGAAAGCGUGGGGAGCAAACAGG
rnacentral:rRNA from 1 species